rnacentral:rRNA from 1 species
ACCCUUACCUAAUGAAGACAAAUAAAAUAGGCAAAAGGGCAUACCCCCCCCCCCCCCGGAAAAAAGGGGGGGUUAGGGGGGGAAAACCGGGAAAUCCAAAAAGGGCAAACCCCUUUUAACAAAGGUUAAAACCCCCCCUUAAAAUUAAAUCCCUUGGGUUAUUACCCCCAACUUUAACCCCCAAAAAUUUAUCGCCCCCGCCCUAAAAACGGUGGCUUUUUUCCCCCCCCUUGAAAAAAAAAUCUUGGGUUUUAUAAAAUUAAAAAAAGGCCCAAAAAUCUUGGGGCCCAACGGCCUUUUAAAACCUUUCCCCAAAGGAGUAAAAAUUUUUUUAAAAAAACCCGGGGGCCCCCCAAWYCGGCCUCAGCUCUCUCAGYCCUYUUYYUUUUAAMACCCASAYUUGWUCUAAMAUYUUGCCCUUACCCUASRARCCCCCAKGCCCCKGCCCYACAUCAGCUACUUGAUAGUAAAAUACCCCUACUAUCCGCCUGGGAACUACGAGCAUUAGCUUGAAACCCAAAGGACUUGGCGGUGCUUUAGACCCACCUAGAGGAGCCUGUUCUAGAACCGAUUAUCCCCGUUCAACCUCACCUUUCCUUGUUUCCCCCGCCUAUAUACCACCGUCGUCAGCUUACCCUGUGAAGGGCCUAUAGUAAGCAAGAUUGGCACAGCCCAAAACGUCAGGUCGAGGUGUAGCGUAUGGAAAGGGAAGAAAUGGGCUACAUUCCCUAGCAUUAAGGAACUACGAAUGAUUACACUGAAACACGUAUCUGAAGGAGGAUUUAGCAGUAAGCAGGAAAUAGAGCGUUCUGCUGAAACCGGCCCUGAAGCGCGCACACAYCGCCCGGUCACUCUCMCACAAGCUUCCACCACCCAAUAACUUAAAACUUUUCAACUGCAAAGGGGAGGCAAGUCGUAACAUGGUAAGUGUACCGGAAGGUGCACUUGGAAAAAU